rnacentral:rRNA from 1 species
GUACAUGCGCAGCUGAGCAGCAACGCCGCGUGAGUGAAGAAGGCCUUCGGGUCGUAAAGCCCUGUCAGGUGGGACGAAUGUCCUGGGGGUUAAUACACUUCGUGGAGUGACGGUACCACCAGACGACGCACCGGCUAACACCGUGCCAGCAGCCGCGGUAAUAA